rnacentral:rRNA from 1 species
CCUACGGGAGGCAGCAGUGGGGAAUCUUGUGCAAUGGACGAAAGUCUGACACAGCCACGCCGCGUGCGGGAAGAAGGCCUUCGGGUUGUAAACCGCUUUCAGCAGGAACGAAAAUGACGGUACCUGCAGAAGAAGAUGCGGCCAACUACGUGCCAGCAGCCGCGGUGAUACGUAGGCAUCAAGCGUUGUCCGGAUUUAUUGGGCGUAAAGAGCUCGUAGGCGGUUCAGCAAGUCGGGUGUGAAAACUCUGGGCUUAACCCAGAGCCUGCACUCGAAACUGCUGUGACUAGAGUUCGGUAGGGGAGCAGGGAAUUCCUAGUGUAGCGGUGAAAUGCGCAGAUAUUAGGAGGAACACCAAUGGCGAAGGCACUGCUCUGGGCCGAUACUGACGCUGAGGAGCGAGAGCGUGGGUAGCAAACAGGAUUAGAUACCCUGGUAGUCCACGCCGUAAACGAUGGGCACUAGGUGUGGGUCUCUAGCCAACGAGAUCUGCGCCGUCGCUAACGCAUAGUGCCGCCGNGGGNGGUAACGGUCGCGAGACGUAAACGUUACGAAGAAGUUAGACGGCGNGAGACGNGCCGACGGCGACGACGAGGGAGGAGG